rnacentral:tRNA from 2 species
GGCUCAGUAGUUCAGUUGGUUAGAACGCCAGCCUGUCACGCUGGAGGUCGACGGUUCGAGCCCGUUCUGAGUCGCCA